rnacentral:rRNA from 1 species
CUACGGGACGCACCAGUGGGGAAUAUUGCACAAUGGGCGAAAGCCUGAUGCAGCAACGCCGCGUGAGUGAUGAAGGUUUUCGGAUCGUAAAACUCUGUUCUAAGGGAAGAUAAUGACGGUACCUUAGGAGAAAGCCCCGGCUAACUACGUGCCAGCAGCCGCGGUAAUACGUGGGGGCAAGCGUUAUCCGGAAUUACUGGGCGUAAAGGGGCGGAGGUGGCCUGACAAGUCAGGGGUCAAAGGCAACGGCUCAACCGUUGUAAGCCCUUGAAACUGUCGGGCUUGAGUUCAGGAGAGGAAAGCGGAAUUCCAAGUGUAGCGGUGAAAUGCGUAGAUAUUUGGAGGAACACCAGUGGCGAAGGCGGCUUUCUGGACUGAUACUGACACUGAGGCACGAAAGCGUGGGGAGCAAACAGGAUUAGAUACCCUCGUAGUC